GGGUUGUCAUGCCAAUGGCACUGCCCGGUAGCUAAAUGCGGAAGAGAUAAGUGCUGAAAGCAUCUAAGCACGAAACUUGCCCCGAGAUGAGUUCUCCCUGAGACUAUAAGUCUCCUGAAGGAACGUUAAAGACGAUGACGUUGAUAUGCCGGGUGUGUAAGCGCAGCGAUGCGUUGAGCUAACCGGUACUAAUGAACCGUGAGGCUUAACCUU
rnacentral:rRNA from 1 species